GCCCCUGUAGUUUAAUGGAUAAAACGCGUCGCUUCGGACGAUGUGAUGGGGGUUCGAUUCCCUCCAGGGGCA
rnacentral:tRNA from 2 species